AUUAUUUGAGGUGGUAAAAUUCGUUGCCAACCACGAACCCUAUGGGUUAAAAAAGACGCAGGAGUCGCGAUGCCUGCCAAAUAAU
rfam:Blautia sp. CAG:257 genomic scaffold, scf163